CGAUCAGUAGUGUAGUGGUUAACACACGAAUCCCAUAUUGGCGCGAGUUCGAUUCCCGCCUGAGCCU
rnacentral:tRNA from 1 species